GACAGAGGUGGCAAACGUUGUUCGGAUUUAUUGGGUGUAAAAGGCAGGUAAACGGUCGAGCAAGUCUGAUGUGAAAUCCCAUAGCUCAACCAUGGAACUGCACUGGAAACUGCCUAACUUGAGUAUCGGAAAGGUGAAAGGAAUUCUCGGUAUAAGGGUGAAAUCUGUAAAUAUCGAAAGGAACACCAAUGGCGAAGGCGCUUCACUGGCCGAUUACUGACGCUGAGCUACGAAAGCAAAAAAAGCAAACAGG
rnacentral:rRNA from 1 species